GGUUCCAUUCCUAGGGUUAAAUGGUGGUUCCAUUUCUAGUUUUUUGAGGAAUCUCCAUACUGUUUUCCAAAGUGGUUACACCAAUUUGCAGUCCCACCAGGAAU
rnacentral:pre_miRNA from 1 species